AAGCGCAAUUGGUUUGACCGCCGCGGAGGCGUGGCGUAACCCCAAAACCAAUCUCCGUCGAUUCCGCCCUAUUACAAGACGUCGACAGCAAGCAACAUCGAUCUCGAUCCGCUCCCCUCGUCCGAUGACCUCAUCGAGUCGCCGUCCUCCUCGCGACACCAGCCAUCGGUUAGCUGUGGUAACUGGGAAAUUUCCUUCGGUUAUGCGAGAAUUCUGAUCACAGAUUUUCACCUCAAGGUCACCAUGUAAAAAAUGCAUGGAAGAAAAGGAUGAAACUAAUUCGGGUGGUGGAGGCCAAAUGCAGUUUUUGAACAGAUCGCAGGUUAAGCAUCCCGACGAUAACUCCAAGUCUGAAGGAAUAGAAGUGGAUCAGAUCGAAAUUAGCAAAGCUCAAGUUGCUGUUUACUUUAAUGCUUGUGAAGGUUCAAAGAACAUGCAUACGUAGCAGAAUCAUCAGUGUGGGUUAGACCACCUAAUUGCUUAUUCUGUGUAGAACUUUUCAGAAAUUUCUGUAUGUUCUAAGGUUGAUCAUGAUAUGUUAAAAUAUAUCAUGUUUGAAUCCAGAUUGCAUUGACCAGCACAAGUUUGCAGAUCUUGAUAUAUCUAUAUCCUUAGCGAAAUCAGCAGAUGUAUAAGAGAAUACAUUGAAGGGAGAUUUCUUGAAGCAAGGUUAGAGGUAGAGCAAGAUGGUCUGAGAGCCUCAAGAGGUUCAAUUGUUGGUGGAAUAAGGCAAUGAAAAAGCAAGUGACAUGCACCAGAUAUCAACUUGAUACAUUCUUUGGUUCUUUUGGAAGGUACUCUGAAGAGCAAAGGAUGAUGAUUCGGCUUGUCUCUCACUCUGGUAUCCCUUCAUACAUUUUGGAUUUCACUUUUAUUGGACAUUUCCGAUGAGAUUAAAAGGAGUGCAACAAGACAACUUACCUAGUAUUACUCUUGUCCAAACACGAGUAACUUCAGUGCUAGUAUGAUUCAUUUGGAUACACUGCAAGUAUCAGUAGCUAUUCUCGGUAAUCACCACAACCUUAACUUCA